rnacentral:tRNA from 1 species
UAUAUUUAGGUGUAAGAUGCACAUAAACUUUUGAUGUUUAUGGGGAUAGUUUAAUUCUAACAUUUAUAA